rnacentral:rRNA from 1 species
UACGUAGGGGGCAAGCGUUGUCCGGAAUCAUUGGGCGUAAAGGGCGCGUAGGCGGCGCGGUAAGUCACUUGUGAAAUCUCUGAGCUUAACUCAGAACGGCCAAGUGAUACUGCGGUGCUAGAGUGUGGAAGGGGCAAUCGGAAUUCUUGGUGUAGCGGUGAAAUGCGUAGAUAUCAAGAGGAACACCUGCGGUGAAGACGGGUUGCUGGGCCAACACUGACGCUGAUGCGCGAAAGCCAGGGGAGCAAACGGG